UACGUAGGUGGCGAGCGUUGUCCGGAAUUACUGGGCGUAAAGGGUGCGUAGGCGGUGUUCCAAGUCAGAUGUGAAAACCCAAGGCUUAACCAUGGGAUUGCAUUUGAAACUGGGAUGCUAGAGUGCAGGAGAGGGAAGCGGAAUUCCUAGUGUAGCGGUGAAAUGCGUAGAUAUUAGGAAGAACACCAGUGGCGAAGGCGGCUUCCUGGACUGUAACUGACGCUGAGGCACGAAAGCGUGGGGAGCAAACAGG
rnacentral:rRNA from 1 species